AUUCAACCCCUACUUCACCAAACUCUGAGUACUUUGUUCUUUGGGUUUGGUUUAUACCCCUCUUUGUUCAAUGAAGCACUGUGUAUACUAAUCUCUAAAGCUAUCAGUUCAUCUGAUACACUCUCUGAAAUGGAUGAGGCAGUGAACAUGGUGUCAGAUACUGUUUUCCGGGGGACGGAUCCCAGCUCCGCAUCUGAGAUUUACAUGGAUUCAUAUUCAUUACAUUAGCAGUAGCCACAUUCAGUGGUGAUUCCCAAAGGAGCAAGAAAAUGAUGGCCUAGAAGAAAGCUGCCACAUUUCAAACUCUCCAGCUGUGCCUUGCCACCAUCGCUACAUUCCACUGCCAAAUGCAGUAAUUUAUGAAUUUGUCUUUUUUAUCUACAAAAAAUGUUAAUUUAUAGAAUGAAGAGAAGAAUAGGAAAGACUAAUGUGGUGGGGAAAAGAAUGUCUGCAUUUUCUCUUAACUGCUUUAUAACUAUUUCUCUCAUGCUAUAAAUGUUAUUUGUGUUUACAGGAUCAUUAUUAUUCUGCAUUAGAUGCUUUAAAACAGAGCUGGGGUGCCAGCAGAUAGUGUAUCCCAGCUUAUAACAUAGUCAUUUUAAAGAGACAGUAG
rnacentral:lncRNA from 1 species